rnacentral:lncRNA from 1 species
AUGCACAAAUACCUGGUUUGGUUCUGGAGUCUGAGAGCUGAGCCCAAGGAACACAAGGAUGAAUAAAAUCCAGUCAAUUUCACUCUUCUAAUAUCUCACGGUUGGCUGAUGUGAGAAGGAUACCAACUUAAUUCUUUAACACCUGUAAUAUGUUCCUCCAGGAGCUGCAUCACAGGAGAGAAGCAGCCUGUUGUUGGCAAAGAUAGUCUGACCUCAUUACGGGGGCAGACAGGUGUAUUCUUUAAUCACAGCCCUAAAGCCUCAGGAAACCCUGGAAUUUUUCCAAGAUCAGCUGGGAUUAGCUUAGCCCUUUGAUGUUGCUGUAGACAUCCCGUGGAGACUCCAGUGGAAGAGGGCAUGGAAUAAGCAAUAGGGGGGGAAAAACAAAAGGGCAAAACAGCUUGCUUGGUUAUAUAAACAAAUCAAGUGACUACUGCUGCCCAUCAAGUUUUUCACGGCAAUAGGAGCUCACUUCUCCUGGUGAGUUGCUGGUGCCAAGACAAUUACAUGUG